GAAACUCGCCUAUAUGAAGUCGGAAUUGCUAGUAAUCGCAGAUCAGCAUGCUGCGGUGAAUACGUUCCCGGGCCUUGUACACACCGCCCGUCACACCAUGAGAGUCGAUAACACCCGAAGCCUGUAGUCUAACCAUAAGGGGGACGCAGUCGAAGGUGGGAUUGAUAAUUAGGGUGAAGUCGUAACAAGGUAUC
rnacentral:rRNA from 1 species